CACUAACCUUACCAGGAUAUUCACUUUACAGCAGCAUCAAAGGCAAUGAGGAACGCUUAAGUGAUACACUAUGGACGUGAUGAUCAAAACUUCUACCUUUGUGCUGAUGGCAGUAGACUGCAGGCUUUGAGAGUAGCUUCCUUGUUGGGCAAAGCGCCGAGAGGCCAGAUACAUUCACUGACUAAUGAGGCCUGUGAUCACCAUGGUAACACCAAGGCAAAGGCUUGCAGAGUGGAUUCAGUGUCCAGAGGCGGCAGCCAAAGAAAGCACGGGGAUAGAGCUCGUGCUGGAUGAACAGUUACUGACGACGUCUCCAUGGCAACUCGCAUCAAGCGGCGACGUCUACUUUGAGGAACGCAAGGCUUGAUUAGAAUUAUUCAAAAGACUGUCAAAUGCCGCACAAUCAGAUUUGAUCAGAGAUUUGCAGUUUGGUCCUAAACCUCUGCCCUAAACUGAACGGUCUCUAAAUAGAUCUCUAUAAUCACAUUAUACAGCUUUCCUCUGACUAAAUACCAGGUUCAAUGCGCUCUUAUUUGUUUCAUUCCAAAAAUCGAGUUUGCCAAGUUAUCUUUUCAAAAGACAAACUCAAAUUUUUGAACUUUUGUCUAAUACGUCUUAUGCCAAGCAGGACAGAAAAUGGGCACUCCUUCAAAAAACCCUUUGAUAUUGUCAGUCUUCAUGCAGCAGUAACUGACCAUAAACACUCAUUCUUAUAGAACAAUUUACAUGAAUUUCCCAAGCUUCCAAAUGAUGUAAGCUAGAAGCAGUAGUUGCAAAAUUGUUGUGAUUAACUAUUUCAUUUAAUUGUUAGGUGCACAAUUUGAUUCUGGCAUAGUAUCAACAUUCUCUUGUGAUGUUAUCCUACAAUUACAUGUGUACCGAAUAAACCUUCCCUGAAAAUAGCAAGCAUUUGUAAUUUAUUUACAUUUAGUCUUGUCACAAAACUGUUACCACUAUGUUUAAUUUCUUCCUGUUUAGCAUAUGAAAUAUCUGCUUUGGUAAAGAGGACCAAAUGAGUCAAGUUCCUUCACGUGGCCUUGCAGUCGUGGAAUUAAAAAAUUCUCGUUCUCAUGGA